rnacentral:rRNA from 1 species
AACGAACGCUGGCGGCAGGCCUAACACAUGCAAGUCGAGCGGACCCUUCGGGGUUAGCGGCGGACGGGUGGGGAACGCGUGGUAACGUGCCCUUUGCUUCGGUAUAGCCCUGGGAAACUGGGCGUAAUACCGGAUAGGCUAUUUCGGGGAAAGAUUUAUCGGGGAAGGAUCGGCGUGGGUUGGUUUAGGUGGUUGGUGGGGUAAUGGCCUACCAAGCCGACGAUGCAUAGCUGGUUUGAGAGGAUGAUCAGCCACGCUGGGACUGAGACACGGCCCAGACUCGUACGGGAGGCAGCAGUAGGGAAUCUUAGACGAUGGAGGAAUCCCUGAUCUAGCCAUGCCGCGUGAGCGAUGAAGGCCGUAGGGUUGUAAAGCUCUUUCACCGGGGAAGAUAAUGACGGUACCCGGAGAAGAAGCCCCGGCUAACUCCGUG